GAAAAGCUUUCUUACCUGCAGCAUACCGGAGAUCAACACUGGCCCUCUAUCCAAGCCUGGAGCCAAGACAGCUGUCACCCACUUUUUUGACACUGCCUGGCCACUUCCGGUGCCGCUGGGAGGAAGAGGCGGGUCCUAGAUGGAUGGCGCUUGUGCAGUCAGUCUGGUGGAUAUAGAGCCGACGGUGGCAGCAUGUUGUCGGCUGCUAGAGUUGUCGGCUUCCGGCGGCGUUUUCGGCAGCGGUACUGGCCUGGAGAGUGCGGGAACGAAGACAUUUUCAUGGAUAUGAAACUGGAUGCAGUUGAAGUUCAUCUGCUGGGUAAUCUUCCAUUUCUGGGGACUGCUUGACUUCCUGCUAAACACAGCUGGGACUUCUUCCUGGAGAGGAGCAACUGCUCCAUGCCAAUGUGUGUCCUGUGGCCAGUGAGGAGUGCGCCUGUGCCUGGCGCUUUGACCCAGAAGUGCACCCGCAGGCGCCGCCACUUCUGCCCUCGAUGCACUGGUGGGAGUCAGCGCCGUGUCCGCUCCUGCCCAGAGCCUUGAGGAGCCGCCUUCAACGCUGGUGGCUGAACCUGAGGAGACCCAGGGCCCUGCAGACUCAGGCUGGGAUCAGACUGCACACACAGAGGAGAAAGCAGAAGCUUAGAGAAAUGCCAAGAAUCCCUCAGUGCCCUGUUCCAGCCUGCCCCAAGAUUCUGACACCUCACAGCUGCACACACGAAGGAGAAAGCAGAAGCUUAGAGAAAUGCCAAGAAUCCCUCUGUGCUGUGUUCCAGGCUGUCCCAAGAUUCUGACACCUCAUAGUAAGUACUAGAUAUUUUUUUCUAUUUAAAUACUGGUUUGAAAGGCAGAAUUAUAGAUGAGGAGGUGUGGGAGAGAUCUUCGUGUAUGGGUUCACCCCCCAGGUGACUACAUUACCAGGGCUGGGCCAGGCGGGAGCAGAAGCCAGGUACUUUAUCCAGUACUCCAGAGUGGGUUCAGGGGCCCAAGUUCUUGGGGUGCAUCCUCUGCUUUCCUAGGCAUUUCAGCAUACAUCUGGAUCACAAGUGGGAACAGCCUGCGGGUGGGGGUGGGGUGGCCGACAGAACAGUGGCAUAGUGGAUGAAGCUGCCGCCUGUAGUACCAGCAUCCCAUAUGGGUGUCUUCCUUCUCUAUGAUACUUUUCUUCUCAUUCCCCCAGCAAACUAAGUAUCC
rnacentral:lncRNA from 1 species